rnacentral:rRNA from 1 species
UUUGAUCAUGGCUCAGAUUGAACGCUGGCGGCAUGCCUUACACAUGCAAGUCGAACGGCAGCACGGGAGCAAUCCUGGUGGCGAGUGGCGAACGGGUGAGUAAUAUAUCGGAACGUGCCCAGUCGUGGGGGAUAACGUAGCGAAAGCUACGCUAAUACCGCAUACGAUCUACGGAUGAAAGCGGGGGACUCGCAAGGGCCUCGCGCGAUUGGAGCGGCCGAUAUCAGAUUAGCUAGUUGGUGGGGUAAAAGCCCACCAAGGCGACGAUCUGUAGCUGGUCUGAGAGGACGACCAGCCACACUGGAACUGAGACACGGUCCAGACUCCUACGGGAGGCAGCAGUGGGGAAUUUUGGACAAUGGGCGAAAGCCUGAUCCAGCAAUGCCGCGUGCAGGACGAAGGCCUUCGGGUUGUAAACUGCUUUUGUACGGAACGAAAAAGUCUUUUCUAAUAAAGAAGGCUCAUGACGGUACCGUAAGAAUAAGCACCGGCUAACUACGUGCCAGCAGCCGCGGUAAUACGUAGGGUGCAAGCGUUAAUCGGAAUUACUGGGCGUAAAGCGUGCGCAGGCGGUUAUAUAAGACAGAUGUGAAAUCCCCGGGCUCAACCUGGGACCUGCAUUUGUGACUGUAUAGCUAGAGUACGGUAGAGGGGGAUGGAAUUCCGCGUGUAGCAGUGAAAUGCGUAGAUAUGCGGAGGAACACCGAUGGCGAAGGCAAUCCCCUGGACCUGUACUGACGCUCAUGCACGAAAGCGUGGGGAGCAAACAGGAUUAGAUACCCUGUAGUCACGCCCUAAACGAUGUCA